CAAAACGACUCUCGGCAACGGAUAUCUCGGCUCUCGCAUCGAUGAAGAACGUAGCGAAAUGCGAUACUUGGUGUGAAUUGCAGAAUCCCGUGAACCAUCGAGUCUUUGAACGCAAGUUGCGCCCCAGGCCUUUAGGCCGAGGGCACGUCUGCCUGGGUGUCACG
rnacentral:rRNA from 1 species